rnacentral:misc_RNA from 1 species
GCAAACUUGGUCAUUUAGAGGAAGUAAAAGUCGUAACAAGGUUUCCGUAGGUGAACCUGCGGAAGGAUCAUUACUGAAGUCGAUCUGAGACUGCCAUUAUGGUGUGCUCGAUCUUAUUUCAUCCACAUACACCUUUGUGCACUAUGGGGGGCUUGUUCCCCCCCCUUCUUAUACAUAAAUACCAGUUAUAUGCAUGUCUCAUACUCUUAAUGAGUAGUUGUACAACUUUCAACAACGGAUCUCUUGGCUUUCGCAUCGAUGAAGAACGCAGC